rnacentral:rRNA from 1 species
CCUACGGGGGGCUGUAGUGGGGAAUAUUGGACAAUGGGGGGAACCCUGAUCCAGCCAUGCCGCGUGUGUGAAGAAGGCCCUCGGGUUGUAAAGCACUUUCAGUGAGGAAGAACGCCUGGUGGUUAAUACCCAUCAGGAAAGACAUCACUCACAGAAGAAGCACCGGCUAACUCCGUGCCAGCAGCCGCGGUAAUACGGAGGGUGCGAGCGUUAAUCGGAAUUACUGGGCGUAAAGCGCGCGUAGGUGGCUUGACAAGCCGGUUGUGAAAGCCCCGGGCUCAACCUGGGAACGGCAUCCGGAACUGUCAAGCUAGAGUGCAGGAGAGGAAGGUAGAAUUCCCGGUGUAGCGGUGAAAUGCGUAGAGAUCGGGAGGAAUACCAGUGGCGAAGGCGGCCUUCUGGACUGACACUGACACUGAGGUGCGAAAGCGUGGGUAGCAAACAGGAUUAGAUACCCGAGUAGUC